CGAAGNNNNUAGCGCGGUGGUCCCACCUGACCCCAUGCCGAACUCAGAAGUGAAACGCCGUAGCGCCGAUGGUAGUGUGGGGUCUCCCCAUGCGAGAGUAGGGAACUGCCAGGCA
rnacentral:rRNA from 1 species